UACUCCUACGGGAGGCAGCAGUGAGGAAUCUUCCACAAUGGGCGAAAGCCUGAUGGAGCAACGCCGCGUGAAGGAUGAAGGCCCUCGGGUUGUAAACUUCUUUUAUAAGUGAAGAAUAUGACGGUAACUUAUGAAUAAGCACCGGCUAACUACGUGCCAGCAGCCGCGGUAAUAC
rnacentral:rRNA from 1 species